ensembl:lncRNA
CCGCCCCCGGCUGCUCGUCACCCCGCGGCCCGCCCCCGGCCGCUCGUCAACCCAGCGGCCACACCCCCGGCUGCCCGUCAACCCCGCGGCCCCGCCCCCGGCCGCGGCGGCCCCGCCCCUGCCCCGGGCCUCCCGCAUCCGUCUGGCGGUCCGACUUGACAGAUGAGGACACCCAGGCUCGGAGAACUGAGGGGCGGGGCCCCGCGCGUACCCUGACCUCCUGACUCCAGUGUUCCCCCGACUCCAGGCCACCUGCUUUAAGAAUCCUAAGAGUUAGGUUUACUGAGCGCUUCCUGCGCGUGGGCACUGUGUAAGGAACCGUCCCAAACCCCUGACGUUGGCCUGGUCUCUGCAUCUUGCGGAAGAGAUCCGCCGAAGAGCGUAUAUGAUGGAGAGAAAUCCUGCCGACCAGGAGCUUUCUAAAUGGUGACUGUGGAGAGAUGCCAAGGAAAUCUAAUGGUGCCAAAUGCAGAAUCCUCAAUUUGCUCUCUAAACUGACAGGAAUUCAUCCGGGAGCUGGAUUUCACUGAGGCAGGAAGUGUUUCACCCACAGAGAUAGAGCAUGUGUGGAGAUUAUACUUGGGACCAGGGAAUAAAGAAGGAAAGGAAAGCUACUUGUAUCCCAGGAGACAGUAAGAAGAAAACAUUCCCCGAGGAGAAGACCAAUGACCUUUUGUGAAGGACGAAAGAAUGCUUAGGCAAUAGUUUAUAGCUACAUGUAUUUAAAAUGUUUCCCUUCUAGUAAGUUAACUGCUGACAUUUUAUUAUUCCUUAAUAAGCUCAAUGCACUUAGAAGAUACAAACAUAUACGUAAAGAGAGUGAGAUCCAGAGAUAUUUCGAAGUAAAAAAAAAAAAAAUAUAUAUAUAUAUAUAUAUAUAAAUAACCCUGGAUCUAAACCACUGCAAAUGUUAUUACACACUUACUGUGAACAGACACCGGGUUGAGGAUACAAGAACUCUUAAGUCACAGAGCCUCUUCUAAGAAUCAAAAUGGCAGCUGGGGAGACACUUAUGGACUCGUAGAAAGAGAACCGUGAUUAUGUGAAGCAUCCUGUGGUAAAUGCUGAAUGAACAAGAGAGCUGCUAAUCUUUGGAAACCUUUUCCAUCAUUCAUGGUCUUAGGACAAAGUAAGAGCUGGAACUUAAAUAGUGUCUUAAAGGAUUUGUAGAAAUUAUAGGAGAAGGAGGGAAAUAAAAAGGAUGCCAGCUUUCAGAAAGGAACAGAAGUAGGAAGUACAGAGCAUGCCCAGAAGACCUUGAACAGCUCCUUGUAACUGAAACAAGGGGUUUGGGUAAGCCAGUUGGGCUUCUAGUCUGAGGGGUCUUGACUACUAAAUUAAGAUAUUUGGACAUUAUCUUUUUAGGCAAUAAAAAGUCAAAGCUGGUUUCCUGCCUGUGAAGAAACUAAGUAAAGUAUGCUUUUAAAAAAACUAUUUUUUCAUGAAGGAAAUUUGCAAAACACAGAAAAGCAAAAAAUAAAUAAAUAAAUAAAAUAAAAGUCACCUGGAAACCCACCAUCUAGAUAUAUGUUACACUUUUGAUGGAUAAACUUGUAGCAUUUUUUUCUAGUCAUAUUCAUGUGUGUGUUUGUAUAGAA